GCUCCUGAGUCUCUGCGCCAAGGUACGUGGAUCCCUGCCGUCUCCUGUUUCACACGCUCGCUCAGGUCCUUUGGGGCUUGGUGUCGCUUGUCCCUCGUGCUCCCGUUGCUGUCACCGCGUGUUGUUCCUUUCCCCAUGCUCAGCUCUGCCCAGUGCUGAUGGGAUGCCAGUGCCACCUGCUGCUCUUAAGAAAAGGUAGGUUUGAUUUCUUUUGGUUUCCAUAGCAUUUGCUACACUUUCAUUCUGUCUCUCUUCUUUUUUUUUUUUUUUUUUUCUUUUUGCUCUCAAUAAAUGGCAGGUUCAAUUCCUUUUGGCUCCUGUAGUAUUUGCUACACGUGUGUUCUGUUUCUCUUCUCUUUUUUCCAUGUUGCCUGGCGGUGCCUCGCUGGAGUUCCCAUGAGCCCCGGGCCCACUUGUGAUCAAGUGAGGUGCCAAAAAAAGAGGUGUCUCCUAAACAGGCUUCUGCUGAGUGCUGUCCUCGUCUUGGGCUUUGUCCAAUGCCCACCUUUCUUUUCUAACCCACUUUGUUGAGGACGGCGUGUGAGGCUUUCUUCUUUCUUUGUAGGAUUGGGGACUCCACCACCAGAAGUAGCAGGCAUUUUGGGAUGUCCAAGGUUCUGCAGUGAACGUGUCCUGUUCCUGAUAAAGGUGUGGGCGUUCCUGGACACGAAGGUAUCUAUCUUCAUGCCUUGCCCAUGUGCCCAGUUCCCCACCAGAUGCUGUUUGCCUUUUGGCCCCCCUGAUUUGCUGCACUGCUGCGCCCUGAUCCUUGCAGAGGGCCUCUCAUUGGUCACCGGCAGUGCCGUCCCGCCCUCGGCAGCCUGUGAUUGCUCACCGGCAGCGCCGUCCCGCCCUCAU